rnacentral:rRNA from 1 species
GACGAACGCUGGCGGCGUGCUUAACACAUGCAAGUCGAACGGAAAGGCCCUGCUUUUGUGGGGUGCUCGAGUGGCGAACGGGUGAGUAACACGUGAGUAACCUGCCCUUGACUUUGGGAUAACUUCAGGAAACUGGGGCUAAUACCGGAUAGGAGCUCCUGCUGCAUAGUGGGGGUUGGAAAGUUUCGGCGGUUGGGGAUGGACUCGCGGCUUAUCAGCUUGUUGGUGGGGUAGUGGCUUACCAAGGCUUUGACGGGUAGCCGGCCUGAGAGGGUGACCGGCCACAUUGGGAAUGAGAUACGGCCCAGACUCCUACGGGAGGCAGCAGUGGGGAAUAUUGCACAAUGGGCGGAAGCCUGAUGCAGCAACGCCGCGUGCGGGAUGACGGCCUUCGGGUUGUAAACCGCUUUCGCCUGUGACGAAGCGUGAGUGACGGUAAUGGGUAAAGAAGCACCGGCUAACUACGUG